rnacentral:lncRNA from 1 species
AGGAACUGCUCCUAAACUACAUGUGGGCAUACGGGCUGUUUAUCAGUCUUCUGAAGUACGCAUCAUGGAAAAAUGUGAAAUAUACAGAAGAUGAGUUGGAUCAUGCUGGUUGCAGGAUGAUUACUCCUUAUGGCUGAAACUCCUCAGUGGUUCAUUCCAGCACCGCUCACCACAUGGCAGAGAUCAUCCUCCUGUCUUCCUCUCGCAGGGCAAAAAAAAAUUAAGAGUAAAUUGGCUGGCUCAAUAGACUUCCUGACUCCAGCAAGAUAAGUAUUUACUAUGUUUAUGAAGUUGUUUAUGUAGUGCAAUAAUACAAGUGAUUUAAUAAAGAUAAGACUUCAGAUAAAUAUCAACACGCUUCCCACUCUGCAGCUGGUCCAUUUCAAGCAGUUAAAAUAAAUUAAAAGAUAAAAUACUGCUCACAAAAAAAUUGAUCAUUGUCCAAGGGAAACGUUUAAAAUGGAAAGAAAUUGCCCACUUUCAGUGUACAAAGCCAUAUGCAUAUGUGUGGGGAAUGAACCUCUCUGCAAUCUAGAGAUUCUCUACCUAAAAAGAAAGGGGCAGGAAGCUAUGUUUUGUAGGUGUUUGCCGUAACAAGACAUAAUUAAAAAGUACUUACAGUUUGUAGACAAGUAUUAAUGACUGGUGUUAUUUAUAGAACAAAUAAUGGAGACCUUUGAAUUAGAUAAAAUAAAUGCUAUUAAUUCUGUUAUUUAUCUAUCUUUAUAUACACCAAGGCAUAGCUAGUGAAAGCUUACUAAGCUAUAAAAUGUAGAUGCUGUCACUGGAAUUUAAAUAGCAUACAGUAGAUGUGAAUUUUACCCAACCUUCUCUGUUUACAUUGCUUUGAAAAAAUAUUUAUGCUUUUACUUGCAGUUUCUCUAGAACAUAAUCUGACAUUUGAAAAAUAUAGUAGAAACGAUAACAGAGAAAGAAGAUGUAUCUUCAUGGUGGUCAAAUCAUUAUUUCUUUUGUCUUCCAGAUUGGAGUGGAUGGGCUUCCUUUCCUCUGUUCUUUCAAAGCACACAGUGUAAAUCUCUACCAUUUCAGCACGCCCUCACCUAUUUUUUCCAUCCAAGGCGUAUAUCAUAGUUCUUGGCGUAUAGUACUUGUUCAAAAGGGUAUUUAAAGCAAGCACUGUUCAGUUUAGAAAUGGUGGCCCAGUAGGCUGAUGGUGGGCUCUUGCUGAAUUCUGAACCACUGAACCUUCUUACAAGACAUCAAGGUUGCUGUCACACAGCAGAGAAUAUUGAAUUGAAACAUGAAGCAUGAAGCUCAUGACAUCAAGUUUUUGGUGUGAUCAGGAAAAAAUUGUUUACCAUAGUUCUAGAUUACUCUUUUUUUAUUCCUGAAAAUUUCAUGGAAUAUUUAGUAUUUAUAGUAUUGCACAAAGUGUUUUUCAAAUGUGUGACACACAGAGACAUUAGACAUUUGCAAUUUCAAAUGCCAGGGACAAGAUGUGCAUCUGCCUUAUGAACUGAGAAGUUGGCCUUUGUGAACAGGUGUGGUAGGUUUUUUAAUGGCCACAAAUUCCUCCAGUUUCUGUACUGGGCCCUUUUGCAAUAUGGCUUUUCAUUCGGAAGUGGAGUCUUUUUAUCUAUACCUUGACUCUGGGCUGACUUUUUAUUUGUUUGACCAAUAAAAUGUGCCAAAAGUAACAUUCUGUGAAUUCUAGGGGCUAGGACUUAAGAGGCGUUGCAGUUUCUGCCUUUGCAUUUCCUGGAACACUACCCUGAGACCUCCACAUGAAGAAACUUCUGCUUACUGGAGGUUGAGAAGCCAAGUGGUAACCUGAGGCUUCCCAGGUGACAGCCAGAACCAAGUAUCGGACAUAAGUAGAGAAGUGCCUGACUCUUUGUGGAAUCAUAUCCAGCCCACCACACCUGGUCGUCUUACCUCAUCAGCAUGUGGAUGUUACUAAAGUGUGGAGGGAAGGAAGCUAAGCUGGAGAGACAUUCUGCUUGUAUCCUGAAUGUUCAAAUGCUAUCUUCCAAGGAAACAGACUAUGAGACAAAACAGAGAUUAGAGAAUGUUGUGACGUCUAGGAAAGGCUCUGUUUGUACCUGCUUAUCUGAGAAGAUUGCUGUUGAAGUGAAGCUGUUGGAGGUGGAGUGGCUUCGUUUGUUAGGUGGGGCGUUUCCUCCAUUGUCACAUGUGAGGGGAAAAAAAUCCAGAGAAGUCAUUGCUUUUAUUAUAGCUCCUUUGUCCUACCAGGUGCCUCUUCAGAUCUUAGCCACUGUCAGUAUAAUCGUCUUUUAGUGAUCGCAUUUAUUCCAUUCUAGAAGUUUGCUGUACCAGAAAGAAGACUGAACUAGGGAGGCCAUGUAACAUAAUGGACAAGUGUUAGAGUGUUGCUUGGAGAAGAGCCUAAGAUCAUAUCCACCAAACUGGAUACAUUGUUCACCCCAAGAUUGACCCUGAGCUAACAUCUGUGCCAGUCUUCCUCUGUUUUGUAUGUGGGAUACUGCCACAGCAUGGCUUGAUGAAUGGUGUGUAGGUCUGCGCCAGGGAUCUGAACCCACAAACCCCGGGCUGCCGAAGCAGAGCACACGAAUUUAACCACUAUGCCAUUGGGCCGUCCCCUAAAAGAAAAACAUACAUCUAGGACUUCCUUCCUGUUGAUCUCUUGGGAUCCGUCUUUUCUGCUUCCUAAGCUUAGCGGUAGUUACCUAACUCUCUAAAGAUGCCAUGAUGGGUGACUAAACCCUUUUACAGCCAACAUGAUUCUCAAAGUCACACAGAAUGUGUUUGUUCUGUUAAUUAUUCCUCCAGGAACUGCAUAGUGUCUCAUCCUUUCUGCUCUGCAACGUGAGAGGGGACAAGACAAGGGAAAGUAUGUCCAUGAUAUUCAAUAUCCAGGCUCACAGGAGCCACACCUGAGAACUGACAAGGGUGGAAGGAAAACUUAGUUUUCCUCCCUUGCACUGAGAGCAUUUUUACAAAGGCUAAUUCAGAAAAAUAAAAAUUAGUGGGUGUCAUUUUUUUCCAUUCAAAAUAAACAUAGUUUUAUUAAGUCCCAGAAGAAAAAAGUUUAUGUAUAUUCUACAAAUUAUAUUGCUGACCUUAUUAAAUAAAUGAAAGUCAAUGAGAAAAUUGGCAGAGCCUUUUAGACAAUAAAAUGUUAAAA